rnacentral:rRNA from 1 species
AUUGAACGCUGGCGGCAUGCUUUACACAUGCAAGUCGAACGGCAGCACGGGGCGAACCCUCGUGGCGAGUGGCGAACGGGUGAGUAACACAUCGGAACGUGUCCAGUUGUGGGGAGUAACCCAUCGAAAGGUGGGCUAAUACCGCAUGAGCUGGCAACAGGAAAGCGGGGACCGCAAGGCCUUGUGCGAUUGGAGCGGCCGAUGUCCGAUUAGCUAGUUGGUGGGGAAAGGCCUACCAAGGCUUCGAUCGGUAGCUGGUCUGAGAGGAUGAUCAGCCACACUGGGACUGAGACACGGCCCA